AAUGCUUGCGCAGUGAUAAGAGUUGUAUCUUAGGGUUUCUUGGCACCAGUGAGUCACAGUGACCAGCCUUGACUUAAGCUGCACAAUCUGAGACAUUCUGGGUUUGAAUUCAAUACAUUGGAUUGGGGGAAGGGAAGUUGCAGAUGGAGUAAACAAGGGAAGAGAGUACGACAGUGCCGAAUCUCCCGCUGGAGGUAAUCAUGUUCAUACUUUACAGACUUUCCGUCCAGUGUCUUCUACGUUUGAGGUGUGUUUGUAAAUCCUGGCGCAAAUUGAUUAGUGAACCAAGUUUUGUUGAGAUGCAUCUCAGACGAUCAAAUGAUAAUAACAUCAGUCUCAUCAUUUCAAGGGAUCAAAUCGAUUUUUACUCCAUAGAUUAUGAUGUAUGUGAUGAUGAGAAUAGGGCUGUAAAGCUUAACGAAAUUCAGUUGCCAAGUUUCAGAAUAGUUGGUUCUUGCAAUGGAUUGUUGUACUGCGUUAAUCAGAAUAAUGUAUUUUUGUGGAAUUCUUCUACUAGAGAGUUCAAGCAAUUGCCAGAUAUUCCAGUUAAAUUUUAUGAUCCUAUUUCUAACUGUUGGGGAUUUGGUUAUGAUCCGAAGGCUAAUGAAUACAAGGUGAUAAGGAUUGUCGAGAUUUGCUAUAAUGAAUCAGAUUUGUCUACUCCUCGAACUGAAGUCAUGAUUUGCACAUUAAGUACUGAUUGUGGAGAAGGCUGGAGAAUGUCCCUUUUUUCAUUACUAGUAGUUCGUUAGCGACUGUUGUGGGUGGUGUUCCUCAUUGGGUGGCAAAGAAAAGGGGUUCUCGUUUUGAAAAAAACCAUCAUUUCCUUUGAUGUUAGGUUUGAAGAGUUCCGGGAGGUUCAAUGGCCCAUGAAGGACUGCAAUGGGCACCUAUUCUGCCUCUGUUCUGAAAUUCAUUUGGGUGUAAUCCGAGGAUGCCUCUCUGUACUUUAUUGUGUUGGUGAAAAUAUGGAGAUAUUUGUUAUGAAGGAGUAUGGGAUUCAGGAAUCUUGGACUAAACAGUUUAAAUUUGGGCUACAAAGACAAUAUAGGGUUUUACAAUUCUCUCUGCCGUUUGGGUUUUCGAAGAAUGGUGAAGUUCUACUGCUGGAGAGGAUUCACAAAAACCUACUUGUCUACAACCCAGAAAAUAAUAUGUUUAGGGAAGCUGCAAUUCUAGGUUAUCUUGCUUUGUUUAUAUUGGGUGCUUAUGCUGAGAGUCUUGUUUCGCUUGAGUCUAAAAAUGGUAUUGAGGAACCUCAGCAAGUGUAUGUGGCAAUGAAGUUAAGAAAUUAGGAGAAAGAGGGACUGAUGGAGCAAAGGGGUAAGCAACAAUGAGAAACCAAGCAAAUAGAACUGAAAACAGCGGUUGAGGAUCCGAACUUUGAUGCUGAAUGGAUUCAUGAAGAUAGUAGAAUCGCUUAACCCGAUGACUUUCUGUUGUCUAUUGUUAUGAGGAACUUUAUCUUUUUUUAGAACUGAUGUUUAAUUUGCUGAAGUGAUGUCUACUGUGGUGUUACAAUUAUUACUGUAUGCACACCUGAAUCUCCUACAAGCUGGCAUAGUAUAGAGGGUGAUGUAGAUAGCAGGAACAAGGUUUUAAAACCAGUCCUGACCGGUUGUGGCCUUUUUUCCUCUUUUUUUGAUGAUCUUCAUUCUAUGACAGAUCGUAAAUGGUUCUUUGGUGUUAUGUUUACCACUUCAUAUUUUACUUGGGAUCACAGCAAUCAGGUGGCAUUUCGGAAGUCGAAACCAAAUAUUUUUGUUAUUUUAACCAAUGUUUCUCAUUGGAUUGUUGAUCUUAAAUUUUAUGAUCUGGUGAAUUCUAGCAGUUCAAUAGUGCAGUUACCUACUCCAUUGAUGCUUGAUUCAUUUCUGAUUCUGUCUUCUUUGAGGUCUUCUUUGUCCGAGGAUCACGCUCUGCUAAUGAUUGAUAGAGUCUUUCCCCAAAAGUGCUGCUGUUGCUGGAUGUGCUUCCCUUGUUGUAUUCCAUAAUUGCUUUACUUUCAUCAUGGUAAUUGAUUUUGGUGUAGGAGCAGAUUGGAGGCAAUGGCCAGGGGACUUCUCCAAGGGCUUGAAGGAGUAAAGGUUAUUGGGGUAUAGAUAGAGAUACGAACAACUUCCAUGGAGAAUGCUGAUUUUUGAUAACAAGAAUUCUAGUUUAUUGCUUUGGGAGAUAUUUCGCAUUUUGAACAAGAUAGAUGUGUUAUUUAAGUACUUUAAGUCAAUAGUUUGGCAGGUGUGUCUGGAUGACUCUAUAAACUAUGUACUUGUAUGGUUGUAAGGGCCAAGAACGAUAGACUUAGGAUCUUUACUAUGGAUGAUGUAGGGGAUAUCAUUUCGAGGUGUUUCUAAUGACUUCUUGUUUCUAAACUAAUUAGAUUGAGUCUUAGCCUGGUUGGCCAUUAUUAUUAAGAGUCUUAAUGGUGAUCUGGGACCAUUGACAAAACCUUGAUCCAUAAGUUAGUUUCUGGUUGGAAGAAGUUUAUUGAAUUAUAGUGUUCAUCA